UACGUAGGGACCAAGCGUUGUUCGGAUUUACUGGGCGUAAAGGGCGCGUAGGCGGCAAUUCAAGUCAUCUGUGAAAUCUCUGGGCUUAACCCAGAACGGCCAGGUGAUACUGCUUUGCUAGAGUGCGGAAGGGGCAAUCGGAAUUCCUGGUGUAGCGGUGAAAUGCGUAGAUAUCAGGAGGAACACCUGUGGUGUAGACAGCUUGCUGGACCAUAACUGACGCUGAGGCACGAAAGCGUGGGUAGCAAACAGG
rnacentral:rRNA from 1 species